CAUCGAUCAGAAGGAAUUCCUUCCGGUCAAUGGGGUUGUUAUACCUCAUCAAUCUGAAGGAAAUCCUUCUGGUUGAUGAGGUACAACAACCUCAUCAAUUGGAAGGGAGUUGAUGAGGUAUAACAACCUCAUCGACUGGAAAGGAUUCCUUCCAUUCAAUG
rnacentral:miRNA from 1 species